rnacentral:rRNA from 1 species
UACGAAGGGGGCUAGCGUUGCUCGGAAUCACUGGGCGUAAAGGGUGCGUAGGCGGGUCUUUAAGUCAGGGGUGAAAUCCUGGAGCUCAACUCCAGAACUGCCUUUGAUACUGAGGAUCUUGAGUUCGGGAGAGGUGAGUGGAACUGCGAGUGUAGAGGUGAAAUUCGUAGAUAUUCGCAAGAACACCGGUGGCGAAGGCGGCAUCCUGGACCGACACUGACGCUGAGGAGCGAAAGCCAGGGGAGCAAACGGG